rnacentral:rRNA from 1 species
UACGGAGGGUGCAAGCGUUAUCCGGAUUCACUGGGUUUAAAGGGUGCGUAGGUGGCUAUAUAAGUCAGUGGUGAAAGCCCCGCGGCUCAACCGUGGAAUUGCCAUUGAAACUGCAUAGCUUGAGUACAGUUGAAGUGGGCGGAAUACAUCAUGUAGCGGUGAAAUGCUUAGAUAUGAUGUAGAACACCGAUUGCGAAGGCAGCUCACUAAGCUGUAACUGACACUGAGGCACGAAAAGCGUGGGUAGCGAACAGG